rnacentral:rRNA from 1 species
AUUGAACGCUGGCGGCAGGCCUAACACAUGCAAGUCGAGCGGAUGAAGGGAGCUUGCUCCUGGAUUCAGCGGCGGACGGGUGAGUAAUGCCUAGGAAUCUGCCUGGUAGUGGGGGAUAACGUCCGGAAACGGGCGCUAAUACCGCAUACGUCCUGAGGGAGAAAGUGGGGGAUCUUCGGACCUCACGCUAUCAGAUGAGCCUAGGUCGGAUUAGCUAGUUGGUGGGGUAAAGGCCUACCAAGGCGACGAUCCGUAACUGGUCUGAGAGGAUGAUCAGUCACACUGGAACUGAGACACGGUCCAGCCUCCUACGGGAGGCAGCAGUGGGGAAUAUUGGACAAUGGGCGAAAGCCUGAUCCAGCCAUGCCGCGUGUGUGAAGAAGGUCUUCGGAUUGUAAAGCACUUUAAGUUGGGAGGAAGGGCAGUAAGUUAAUACCUUGCUGUUUUGACGUUACCAACAGAAUAAGCACCGGCUAACUUCGUG